rnacentral:rRNA from 1 species
AUGCCUCUCAUUAAUCCUCCGCCAUCCGCGCGCGCCCCGCUUGCCAUGUUCAGCGACGGCGCCGCCGGGCUGCUCCUCCUGGUCCUGGCCGCCUUCGUCGCGGCGGCCGCCGCCGUGUCCGAGGGCGACGUGCUGCUGGCCUUCCGGGAGACCCUCCGCGGGCCCGUGGGCGACCGCCCUCCGGCGCCGCUCGACCAGUGGGUUUCCUCCACCGGCACCGGCCCGUGCCAGGAGCCGGUGUGGUACGCGGUGCAGUGCCACCCGGACACAAACCAGGUGCUCGGACUCCGCCUCGAGUACCUCAGCCUGCAGGGCGCCGCCCCCGACAUGGCCCCGCUUGCGGCCCUCCUGGGCCUCCGCGUGCUCAGCUUCGCCAACAACAACCUCACGGGCGCGUUCCCGGCUGGGCUCUCCGCGCUCCCUGCCCUCAAGACGCUCUACCUUUCCCGGAAUCGCCUCGCCGGCGACAUCCCCGACGGCGCCUUCGCGGCCAUGCGGGGGCUCAAGAAGCUCUUCCUCGGAGACAACGCCUUCACGGGGCCCAUCCCGGGCUCCAUCACCUCGCCCAAGCUGCUGGUGGUGCAGCUGGCCAGGAACAGCUUCCAGGGGCCAAUCCCGAACUUCGACCAGAAGGGCCUCCUACUCUUCGACGUCUCCGACAACCAACUCUCCGGCCCCAUCCCCGAAGUGCUCAGCCGGUUCAACGCCGCCUCGUUCCAAGGUGAGUUCGUUCGUUCGUUGCACGGCGACGUGCCUGCACAUGUAAAACAAAUGGUCGGAUUUUCAUCUUCAUCCUCCAGCCUUCCUCGUUUCCUUCCCAAGACCGCCACACAGACCAUCGGCCCAACCCACUGCCAUUUCACCGCCGCCCGUGGCCCACUGCGCUCCCGUGCCAGCCUCGUCGAACCUGCCCUCACUCACCGCCACUCACCGCCGUGCUGGCGCAGGCCCCCGGCCAUCCCUCUAAACCGGCGAACGACAAGAUUUUUCCGGCGAGCCCUGCACCCCCCUCCUCACCCCGAACGUUAA